rnacentral:rRNA from 1 species
GAACGACCACCAAGAGAAGGGUGCCAGGUUCCGCCGCGUGGAUAAAGACUGGUCCUCGGCCGCCACCUGUUCGAGCGUAGGUACAACACGAGAUCGAAGUGCGAUGAGAAGAGGUGGAAAGUACCAAGGUGAUAACCGUAGGCGAAGCGAACCCGGGAAUGAAGCGGAUCGACGGUGAUGGAAGAUGGUACGGGCAAAUGGGCUGGUGCACUUUGUAGAAGUAAUACUUGACCUUCCAUAAGAAACCUGCAGUACGACGGUCCGACAAGAGGACUGGCUUCAUAAAAGGUUCUUCUAUAUUCCUCCUUGUAAGUUGACUUGACUUCACUCCUCAGUGUUGAUUAUAGGACCAAAGUCCACUGCUGGGAAGUCGGUAGGUGAGCUUAGUAAAACAAAAAAACACAGAUAAUUUGAGUUUAUUAUAAAAAUCUUGUAUAGGAAAUGACCAAUAUGGCAUAGUCUAUAUACCUCUCUUUCAAGUAUACGCGUAGUCGAUAAGUCUAACAAACGUUGUACUGAAACGGGCAGUAAAAUAAACCAACUCUAAUGGUACCCGUGUAGAACGAAACAAGUGAUUAUGUUUAAAAAUAGAAAACGCACUACCCCAUGAUAGGAAUUUUACACAUGAUCCCUAUAAAAGGAAACCAAGCUUCCUUCGAGGUAAAACAUGUUUAAAACCAACAUGGUGUGUUAAAUGUAUAACACUCAUAAAACAAUCCUUGUGGAAACUUAACUUGUAAAUACUAUAUAUCGAUUCACAAACAUUGCUAUCCACUUGACAAAAGACCAUAGAAAGUCAUAAAUAGAUACAAGUUAACCGAACGUGUAAUGGUUGACGG